CAUCGAUGUUCCCGUUCACAUUCCGCAUGUACCCUGUAGACCCGGGUUUAUGUGUUCAUGUUUAACUUACAGAAGCUCUGUUCUACAGGUAUAUUUUGAAUGUGCUAACACCUAAUCCGUUG
rnacentral:precursor_RNA from 8 species